CAAACACAUCAGUGAGGGAUUACCUAGAGUCUCAGCCUCUGGGCAUGCCUGUAAAGAAUCCUCUUGAUUAGGUUAAUGGGAGUGAGAAAACUGAUCUAAAUGUGAGUGGCGCCAUUUCUGGGCUAGGAUCUGGAGGUGUAGGAAUGGAGAAGGAGGCCAGCCGAGCGCUAGUGUUUGUCACUCUCUGCCUCCUGGCUGUGGGUGCAAUGUGACCGGCUGUCUCCUGCUCCCUGACCUCUCUGUCAUGACAGACUGCAACUGUGAGCGGAAAUAGACCCUCCUUGUAGUUGGUUUUGUUGGGCAUGUUAUCACAGCAACAGGAAAAGACCCCACAGAGAUACCAUCACCUCCUAGACAGCAGGAAGCAAUUCUAACAAAAUGACACCUCCUCUCCUAACAGGGUUCAACACAUCACUCUACAAAUAUAUUCUCCAGUGAAGAGAGGGCAACAGUCUCUUUGGUGAGAGCUGUUAGCUGUGAGAACAAAAGCUGAACAGGUAUUAAAUUCAUUGACCAAAGAGAGAUAAUAGCUUCAGUGGGCAUCCCUGAAAAAAGGACACAUGAGAAAAAAAUAUGGACCAGUGAGUGAUGGAUAAAGAGAAGGGAUGCACAGGGGAAUCACAGCUCAUCCGAAGGGGUGGAUGGAGAAGAGAGACGGAGACGGUACUUGACCCAUUUCCACCCCGCUUCACCAACGUGAAAAACACAGCCCUUGUUAUUGAGAUAUAGCUAUAUGGACUUUGGUACU